rnacentral:rRNA from 1 species
UAAGACGAACCGUGCGAACGUUGUUCGGAAUCACUGGGCUUAAAGGGCGCGUAGGCGGCCCGCCGCGUCCGGGGUGAAAGCCCACGGCUCAACCGUGGAACGGCCCCGGGUACGGGCGGGCUGGAGGGGAGUAGGGGCGUGCGGAACUGUGCGUGGAGCGGUGAAAUGCGUUGAUAUGCACAGGAACUCCGGUGGCGAAGGCGGCACGCUGGGCUCUUUCUGACGCUGAGGCGCGAAAGCCAGGGGAGCGAACGGGAUUAGAUACCCCGGUAGUCCUGGCCCUAAACGAUGAACACUGGGUAGCGGCCCGGGCAUGGGGCCGCUGCCGCAGCCAAAGUGCUAAGUGUUCCGCCUGGGGAGUAUGGCCGCAAGGCUG